CACGCUUUCUACGCGUAGGUUGUCCCUCAUGACCUCAAUCACCAUGUCCUCCCUCCAGCAGACCACGGUCCGGUUAUCUCCGGUGGCCAUCCUCUUUCUCGAUCUCACGCUGGCCUCCUACGGCAGCGGCUAGCUCGCCGUUACAUCCCAAUCAUGCGAGGCCGCUUUCUGAGUUUAUGUACCCCUGUUGCACAGUCCAGCCGGCCACACGGCCGUCUUUUCAUGGAUCUAGAUGCAUACUCCACUGCUUCUUGGCUCUAGAUCCAUGACCUCUAGAGCUUGGGAUGCCUGAUUGGUUUACUUAGUAUGAAAGGAAGAUGAAGUGAUCAUGAUGGCUUCUAAUGAGUUCAAUUUAGGCUAAUAGAGAUAAAAAUGGUUAAUGAAGUGGAUGAGGCAUACUGAUGUCAGUCAAAUUACGACCAUUGGUGAGGCCGCCGAGUGGAGCUACUACAAGAGACGGGCGCAGCAGCCCUCUGGUCAAUUCGUCAUCAGUCAAUAAGAGGGUAAUCCGAAUUCUGAAAUUUCAUUUUCUAUUUUCUAACCCAUCAAAUCAAUUUUAUGGCUUGAUUCUUGAGGUCAUGUUCAUCAGAAAUCUAUUUGCAAUUGUAUGUAACGUUGCUCCCUACAGUUUUAUCAAAUAGCCUUUAAUAUUUGGAAUUUACAGCUAUGGCCUAUAGACUAAAGAAUAAGGUAUUUUCAGCUUGAUAUUUGGGCAGUCUCGGCAGGUUCUUUUUUGCCCUGGUGUACAACAGCAAGAACUGCCGCAAUUAGCUUAUGUACUUGAAUGAAUCUUCCUCUUUUUAUGGAUCGCCGGUGUCAAUUUGUUCGGGUAGAGCCAUAUUUAUUUCUUGGGAAUCCAAAUUGAAAAAGUAGGCCUUUAUACCUUUUUUGUUUCUUACCACGAGAGGAUAUGGAUGACCAUCUCAAUCGGUGGCAAUCCAUUUAUUUUUAAAUCACAAUACAUCUUACCUUAUAUAUUUACUAAUUGGAAGCACUAAUCGAGACACCAUAUUAAUCCUAGAAAAUUAACAAAAUCAUCCAUCCGAUCUUACAGUUGCAUCUCUGGAGCCGUCGGAUGAAAUCCGUAGUCCCUAUGAACUAUCCCACAUGAGAAAGUUCCUUCUGGGCAUCUCCCUGAAAAAAAUAUUUCCAUCUCACCUCUUUCCCAUCUCUUCCACCCAUCCACGAUCUUCCUCCUCUGUCGCCUCUCCAUGCCCUCUUCUACCCAGCCCCGAUCUAUGCGGCAGACCUUGAAGAACGUGACCCAAUCUAAUACAGAUACAGGCAAUGCCAUGAAUCAUGAAGGUUUGAUAUAGGUGACUAUGUCUGUCCUCAACAUACCUGACGUUUGAUCAUUAUUACUGGACUACGCCCUGUCCAAAAAAUAUUAAUUAGGCAAACUGAAGCUAUGUUUAUUCCGUACAUUUUCUCAUGGUUCACGAAGAUAUAUGAAGCAGUUUGGCGAUCCCAAAAAUCAUUGAUCUAAUAUGUAGUUUUCAAUUAAUGAUUCCACUGUCAGUUUUCAUCACUUAUCUGCUCUCUUUUUAUCUGAAUUUUAUUUCUGAAAAACACAACACACACACAUGAGGUUGAAGGAAACAGAGAACAGAAAUUCAGUCAUAGAGAGAGGCUUUUGCCAUGCCAAAACUUGCGUCAUUUUUAGUCUUUCCUUUUAUUUCAUCGCUUAACUGAAUCAACGGGAAAUUUGCCACAAUCCAAUAGUUGCGCGUGCCAUCCCACGAGUUCGGAUUGUGCCGGGUCAAAAGCUAAUUAAACAAGCUAAAAUUAGGUCUGGGCCAUAGCAGGAACGCAGCAAGAUUCUGGCUACAGUAAACAUUCAGAUCAAAGAAACACGUGAUUGCUUAUGCAGCUACUGAAGAAAUAAGAGAAACUGAAGAAAAACUUGCAGACGUAUUGAGGUUAACAUCAACAUCCGCAAGCACGAAUCGUCCGGCAGAAAAACAGCAAGCAGCACCAGCCCUUCGUCAACUCUAAUAGUACUGAUGUACGUAUUCAAGUUCUUCUGUUUCACUUCCUUUUUGUUAUGGCCAUGAAAUAGCCAUGGUACGUUACUCAUUUUUGUUUCUUAUAUAUAGAUAUCUCUCCACAUGUUUCCAUGUGGUAGCCAUUGCUGUUUCUUUCCUUAUACGCAUAUUUGUUUACUAGGUCUGUUAACACGGGUGUCUCCCUAAGCUCCUAAAACAUUUACUAUGAAUUCUAUGGGCAGCCCCGUGCAUGUAGCUCCCGCUUGCGCAGGGUCGGGGAAGGGUCCGACCACUUUGGGUCUAUAGUACGCAGCCUUUCCUCACAUUUCUGUAAGAGGUUGUUUCCAGGACUUGAACCGUGACCUCAUGGUCACAAGGCAGCAGCUUUACCACUGCGCCAAGGCUCCCCUUCAUUUACUGUGAAUUCUAUAUCACAACAAAAUCAUUUUUUGCAAAAAAAAGGCCAUGUAGAAAGUAACCUGAUUUUCUGUCUUUUAUAUUAAAAUCUAAUAAAUAGUAAAUCGAAAAAAAAUUACUAUGUGCCAUCCGCAGCUCCUUACUGUUCUUUGCAUGUUGUAUAUUUAUAAUAUGAUUUGUAUUGAUAUUUGCAAUUUGCAUAUCAAGUAUUUAUAAUAUUAUUUUUUGGCUCAGUAUGUGUCAGUUAUAUGAUUGUGAUUUAGUGUAAUUAGAUUAUGGAGGUCCUUCUGUUUUUAGGCUAUCGUCAUGUUGGUGCAACAAAUAUCUACAUGACCAUGUACCUCUUAUGUGAUUAUCCAUUCUUUUAUUUCCAAGUAAAAUUCUACUUUAGGAUGGAUUGGCUAAGCUUUAAGAUUGACCCCAAGUCACUACAGGAUGCCUUGGUAUUGAUGGAAACAUUACGUCAGAUACAAAAAUAAAUGCAGAUUAAUGAGAUACAUAAUGCCUCAAAACCAAAGCUUGGUUGGUUCACAAAGUCCAAAAAGAUUUACAUCAAACUUAACAAAACUAAAUUGUUUCUACCCAAUUGUUUUCUAAAAGAUGUAAGCAUUCCGUUUUGCUUUUAGUUUUCAGUUUGGAGCUACCUGUUGAAUUAAUUUUGUUGGGUGCUCACUAACUAAGUUAUAAUUGUGCUCAACAAAUGUGUAUUGUAUAUGGGAUAAUACGUGGAUUAUGAUCUCAAGGGUGAAAAGAUAGAUUUACUACGUCUUGGAUUUUGAUUUUCCAAGGUAUUUUAGGGAUACACAAAUGUAGUUGUAAUGUCCAAAUAUUUAUUUCCUCAACAAGCUUCAUUAUGAUCUCAACGCUGAUUUAAUCUAUUCAUGAAAAUACCAAUUGUAUUUAAAGAAGAAAAAGCACUUAUUAUUUGAGUUCAGUCCAAUAUAUAGUAGCAGCAAAUACUGUUAUCUUCUAAUUCUCAGUUGUGAAUUAGUUUGAAUUUGUUGUGGUCUGUCCUAGAGAUAAUUAGACCGCUCAUGAAAUUAAGACUACACAUUUGUCAUGUUGCAAGUGUUUAAAAUGGCUGCUCUGACUACAUUUUCAUCUAAGGGUUACUCAUUUAAUUGUUACAUACUACUCUUUGGAGUACCUUUCAUGCCAAAGAAGAGUACUAUAUACAAACGUUUAAAGCCAAAUUCUCUUUUCGUGUGGUUUCCCUUCCAGUUUUAUAUCCUUAUAAUCCAGAGUAAAAAAAAGGCAGCCGGUGCAUGUAGCUCCCGCUUGCGUAGGGUCUGAUCAUAGAAAAAUAUUUUGUAGUCAUCUCAUAUAAUUUUGCAUGGCCGUUUUGCAAUGAUUAAUAGUACCCUCUUUUCCUAUCUACAGGUAAAUUGCAGGGUAGGGAAUCAAAUAUGAGCAUCAAGCAUGAUCAGAUAUAACUGCAAUCUUAGUUGUUAAAAAAUCAAAAUAUGAACUUCAUUUGUUGUUAAAUAUUCUAAAUCAUGUUCCCACAAAUGGCCACAACCAGGAUUAAUAUGAGAACUUUUAAAGAGGGUUAUCGUACAUGGUUUAAUUUUUUGCGAUACCGGUAGAACACAUGUAACAAUAAUGCAUUUGUACGGGUUUGUGCUUGCUUCCUCAACACAAAUUCAUGGGCAAGGCAAUCAGGAACUUUGUGCCACUUUUACUGGAAACCUAUGAUAUCCCACUGUUUUUUUUUUGACAGGCUCAACCUAUUUCUGGUAGCACUUGAAGCUACCAUGGUUUUUCGAUACCGAAAGACUUAUGUUUUUGCAUUUUCUUAUCCUUUGGCUUGAUCCCGACACGCUGAAUUUUCAUUUCGCAGCACUUACACUGCUUGAGGAACCGUGUCUCAUUGAAAGCUCAUAUGGUUUGAAAUCAAUGUUUAUAUGUAAAGAGAUUUGUCUCAGGUGCAACAAAAACAACACAUUAAUUUGGUGUGCAAGAGGCUGAUAACUAUUUGAUUCUUUUCUUGUCUCUCAGACAUGAUUAACUUUCUUACCUGUAGGAUUCUGUACUUUAUGACACUAUAGCUUCCUAUUAUCAGUGUUUUUUAGGAUGGUAUGACCAUGUACUGGAUGGUAUUUCACAACCUGAAUGGUCUUUACUUUUCUAAAAAAUCAUUGAAUUUAAUA